rnacentral:piRNA from 1 species
UGAAUCAUUAGGUUAGAAAAG